CACGAACCGUACGAGCGUUAUUCGGAAUUACUGGGCUUAAAGGGUUUGUAGGCGGCCUUGUAAGUCAGGUGUGAAAUCCCUCGGCUCAACCGAGGAAUGGCGCCUGAUACUGCACGGCUUGAGGGAGACAGGGGUAAGCGGAACUGAUGGUGGAGCGGUGAAAUGCGUGGAUAUCAUCAGGAACACCGGUGGCGAAAGCGGCUUACUGGGUCUCUUCUGACGCUGAGGAACGAAAGCUAGGGUAGCGAACGGG
rnacentral:rRNA from 1 species